CUGUCAGGCUGACCAGACGUCC
rnacentral:siRNA from 1 species